rnacentral:rRNA from 1 species
UGCGUAGGUGGCUUGGAAAGUUUGAUGUGAAAGCUCAGGGCUUAACCCUGAAAUAGCAUUGAAUACUGCCGGGCUGGAGGUUUGGAGGGGGGACUGGAAUUCUUGGUGUAGCAGUGAAAUGCGUAGAUAUCAAGAGGAACACCAGUGGCGAAGGCGAGUCCCUGGACAACACCUGACACUGAGGCACGAAAGCUAGGGGAGCAAACA